GACGAACGCUGGCGGCGUGCCUAAUACAUGCAAGUUGAGCGAUGAAGCUUGGUGCUUGCACCAAUUUGAAGAGCAGCGAACGGGUGAGUAACGCGUGGGGAAUCUUCCUUUGAGCGGGGGACAACAUUUGGAAACGAAUGCUAAUACCGCAUAACACCUUUAAACAUAAGUUUUAAGUUUGAAAGAUGCAAUUGCAUCACUCAAAGAUGAUCCGAGGUUUGAUUAGCUAGUUGGGGGGGUAAAGGCCCACCAAGGCGGUGAUACAUAGCCGGUCGGAGGGGAGGGGGAGCCACACUGGAAGGGAAACGCGGUCCAGACUCCUAGGGGAGGCAGCGGGGGGGAAUAUUGGAAAAGGGGGGCAGGCCUGAUGCAGCCAGACCGGGUGGGAGAGGAGGGCUUGGGGGUUGAAAAGCCGUUUGGUAGGGAAAGAAGAGGAGCAGGUUGAAACCCCGCUGUUCUGACGGUACCCAAAGAAAAAGAACCGGCUAACUUCGUG
rnacentral:rRNA from 1 species